ACGAGUUCCAACGAGAUCAAGUACCUUGUAUAUUAAAAAAAAUUCGAUGGACAGACAUUCAAAUAUAUAUUUUCUCUAAACAAAAUUUACUUACUAAAUGAAAAGGGAAGAGAAACAAAGCUAACGUGAAUUAUACGCGAGAUUCUUCGGGAGAGAUAGUACGGCUGCAGUCGGGAGAAUCGUACUUUUUUAGCAAAAAUUCGAACAGACGGUAUUUUGCUUAAUUUCUCGUAAGGAGACUUCUACGAGAGAAACGUGGUCACAUGUUUAAACUCCUUGGAAUUCUCUCACGAAGUAAUCCCGAGUACGUCGCACGAUAAGGCCGAGCGGAAGAAUAUACGAUGGCAUAAAGUAAGCGAGACCGGCCAAAGCCUCGCGCGGAAGAUUCAUUUAAGGCUUAUGAA